GUGCUCGCCGGCAGCAUGGGUACUGACCCUGGAACAAUGCAGAGAAGACUAGCAUGGCCCCUGUGUAAGGAUGACACGCACAUUGGUGAAGCAGUCUGUAUUUUU